rnacentral:rRNA from 1 species
GAUGAACGCUGGCGGCGUGCCUAAUACAUGCAAGUCGAGCGAACAGACGAGGAGCUUGCUCCUCUGACGUUAGCGGCGGACGGGUGAGUAACACGUGGAUAACCUACCUAUAAGACUGGGAUAACUUCGGGAAACCGGAGCUAAUACCGUAUAACAUGUUGAACCGCAUGGUUCAACAGUGAAAGACGGUCUUGCUGUCACUUAUAGAUGGAUCCGCGCCGCAUUAGCUAGUUGGUAAGGUAACGGCUUACCAAGGCAACGAUGCGUAGCCGACCUGAGAGGGUGACCGCCCCCACGGGACUGGGUACACGGUCCAAACUCUACGGGAGGCAGCAGUAGGGAAUCUUCCGCAAUGGGCGAAAGCCUGACGGAGCAACGCCGCGUGAGUGAAGAAGGUCUUCGGAUCGUAAAACUCUGUUAUUAGGGAAGAACAAAUGUGUAAGUAACUAUGCACGUCUUGACGGUACCUAAUCAGAAAGCCACGGCUAACUACGUG